UUCCUACCUAAGCUGAGAGCCUUGAGAGGCUA
rnacentral:sRNA from 1 species